rnacentral:rRNA from 1 species
GAUGAACGCUGGCGGCGUGCCUAAUACAUGCAAGUCGAGCGAACAGACGAGGAGCUUGCUCCUCUGACGUUAGCGGCGGACGGGUGAGUAACACGUGGAUAACCUACCUAUAAGACUGGGAUAAAUUCGGGAAACGGGAGCUAAUACCGGAUAAUAUAUUGAACCGCAGGGUUCAAUAGUGAAAGUCGGUUUUGCUGUCACUUAUAGAUGGAUCCGCGCCGCAUUAGCUAGUUGGUAAGGUAACGGCGUACCAAGGCAACGAUGCGUAGCCGACCUGAGAGGGUGAUCGGCCACCCUGGAACUUAGACACGGUCCAGACUCCUACGGGAGGCAGCAGUAGGGAAUCUUCCGCAAUGGGCGAAAGCCUGACGGAGCAACGCCGCGUGAGUGAUGAAGGUCUUCGGAUCGUAAAACUCUGUUAUUAGGGAAGAACAAAUGUGUAAGUAACUAUGCACGUCUUGACGGUACCUAAUCAGAAAGCCACGGCUAACUACGUG